rnacentral:rRNA from 1 species
UACGAAGGGGGCAAGCGUUAUCCGGAAUUACUGGGCGUAAAGAGUUGCGUAGGUGGCACUGUAAGUUGUUAGUGAAAGCGUCCGGCUCAACCGGAUACACAUUACCAAAACUGCAGAGCUAGAGGACAAGAGAGGUUAUUGGAAUUCCUAGUGUAGGAGUGAAAUCCGUAGAUAUUAGGAGGAACACCGAUGGCGUAGGCAGAUAACUGGCUUGUUCCUGACACUAAGGCACGAAAGCAUGGGUAGCAAACAGG